rnacentral:rRNA from 1 species
UACAGAGGUCUCAAGCGUUGUUCGGAUUCAUUGGGCGUAAAGGGUGUGUAGGUGGCGCGCUAAGUCGGGUGUGAAAUUUCGGAGCUUAACUGCGAAACUGCAUUCGAUACUGGCGUGCUUGAGGACUGGAGAGGAGACUGGAAUUCAUGGUGUAGCAGUGAAAUGCGUAGAGAUCAUGAGGAAGACCAGUGGCGAAGGCGGGUCUCUGGACAGUAACUGACACUGAGGAACGAAAGCCAGGGGAGCAAACGGG